rnacentral:lncRNA from 1 species
UGUUUUGUAACCAGAAUAGAGGAGGUCUCAUGGAAAUUUGAAUGGAGAAAAAUGGAGAGAGAACUCAAUCACAUGGAGUGCAGUAGGAGCCAUGUACCAAACUGAAAAGGCUGUAGUCACAUCAGAGAGUUCACUCAGGCCCUCUUCCAGUCAAUCGCCACACUCCUAGACAAUAGCUGAAGAAUGUGAGAAAGAAAAAUCAAAAGCACACAAAUGAGACUGUGCAGUGAAGAGGCCACAGAGACAACCAUACUGUCUUUUUGUAUCACAAUAAGCAAAAAACAGCGUCUCAGUAUGUUGCUCAGGCUGUUCUUGAACUCCUGGGCUCAAAUCAUCUCCCACCUCAGCCUCCCAAACUGCUGGGUUUACAGGCAUGACCAACUGCACCCAGGCUAUUAAGACCUUCAUGAGAGAAAUGUCCUCGCUAUUCCUGGAGGAAAGGAACAAGAAUGUUCAUAUCCCUGAAGACACAGAAACAUAAAGAAAAAUCUGAACAAACAGGCCUUGCUAAAUUCCCCCCAGUUUAUUGCCAUGAGAUUGUACACUUGUGUUUUCCAAUCAUAUUUCUCCAUGACUGUUCACUCUUCAUCAAACUAAGUAUAAAAAUAUACAUUUACCUGUUUCUUUGGGUCUUUAUUUCUUUAUUAAGGCUCCUAUAUCACAUAAAAUUUACAUUUAAUAAAUUUGUAUGUCUUCAAGUCUGGGCACAGUGGCUGAUACCUGCAAUCCCAGCACCUUGGGAGGCCAAGGCAAGUGGAUUACUUGAGCUCAGGAGUUCAAGCUACCAGGCAGGCCAAGAUGAGAGGAUGGCUUGAGCCCAGGGAGGCAGAUGUUGCAGUGAGCCAAGAUGACACCAUUGCACUCCAUCCUGGGUGACAGAGCCAGAUCCUA